rnacentral:rRNA from 1 species
UGCCAGCCGCCGCGGUAACACGAACCGUCCAAACGUUAUUCGGUAUCACUGGGCUUAAAGCGUGCGUAGGCGGCUUGGUAGGUGAGAUGUGAAAUCCCACGGCUCAACCGUGGAAUUGCGUCGCAAACCCCCAAGCUUGAGGAAGACAGGGGUGUUGGGAACUUAUGGUGGAGCGGUGAAAUGCGUUGAUAUCAUAGGGAACACCGGUGGCGAAGGCGCAACACUGGGCUAUUUCUGACGCUGAGGUGCGAAAGCCAGGGGAGCAAACGGGAUUAGAUA